GGGCGCUUGGUCUAGGGGUAUGAUUUUCGCUUCGCAUAUCUAAAGUGUGUAUUUGUGAAAGGUCGUGGGUUCAAUUCCCACAGCGUCCA
rnacentral:tRNA from 1 species